rnacentral:rRNA from 1 species
GUCUACGGCCAUGCUACCCUGAACGUGCCUGAUCUCAUCUGAUCUCAGAAGCUAAGCAGGGUUGGGCCUGGUUAGUACUUGGAUGGGAGACCACCUAGGAAUACCAGGUGCUGUAGAUG